UUUCGCCGCGAACCUCGCUGUGGACUCAAUGUGGGCUGAAUCUCGAGGUGUCAAAUCCUAACAGAUAUAUAUCUGAUUUUAGAUGGAAUCUUAUCUUACUGAGCAGACUGGAUUCGAGAGGCUACAGGACGAUAGCUGGUGGAAGAAUCCUGGAGGUGUUGAGUGGUGAUAGGAUUAUUCUGGAAGGAAAGAAGAGGAUGAGAGGAUAUUACUACCUGACGAAGAGUCCAAUGCAAGGUGGAGCUUC
rnacentral:lncRNA from 1 species